GGGAGAAAUUCUGCAGCCCAUGACGUUCCU
rnacentral:piRNA from 1 species